CCUACGGGAGGCAGCAGUAGGGAAUAUUGCUCAAUGGGGGGAACCCUGAAGCAGCAACGCCGCGUGGAGGAUGAAGGUUUUCGGAUUGUAAACUCCUUUUGUUAGAGAAGAUAAUGACGGUAUCUAACGAAUAAGCACCGGCUAACUACGUGCCAGCAGCCGCGGUAAUACGGAGGGUGCAAGCGUUACUCGGAUUCACUGGGCGUAAAGAGCGCGUAGGCGGGAUGGCAAGUCAGAUGUGAAAUCGUAUGGCUUAACCAUAGAACUGCAUUUUAAACUGUUAUUCUAGAGUAUGGGAGAGGUAGGUGGAAUUCGUGGUGUAGGGGUGAAAUGCGUAGAGAUCAAGAAGAAUACUGAUUGCGAAGGCAGCCGGCUAGAACAUAACUGACGCUGAUGCGCGAAAGCGUGGGGAGCAAACAGGAUUAGAUACCCCAGUAGUC
rnacentral:rRNA from 1 species